rnacentral:lncRNA from 10 species
CUCGGCACAUGUAAAUGUUUUUUGCCUUCACUUGCACAUUUGCAGUUGAAAAACAAUAGACAAUCAAAAGAUUGAUUCAUCAUUAUUCUAUGCACUUUUCUGUAUAUCACUUUAUUAAUUAAAUGGAAAGGUUUUGUGAAAGCCAGAUAAAAAGUAUCUUGUGAUAGGGAUUCUGUGUUCUACCUUUUUUCUAAUUGAUUACAUGAGAUUGCUUAUUAUAGAUCCUCUACCUGUUUCAACUUCAUAAUGAAAUAACACCAUACCUCAUCUAAUAGAAAAUAAGAUUGAUCUGUUCAAAAAUGUAUUCUUAGUACAAAACACUAAAUAGUGCUUUAUUAUUAUAACAGUCGUAAUGUUUUAUUUCUUUUAGUUGGGACAGAAAUAACCCAGAGCCCUGGAACAAACUGGGUCCCAAUGAUCAAUACAAGUUCUACUCAGUGAAUGUGGAUUACAGCAAGCUGAAGAAGGAACGUCCAGAUUUCUAAAUGAAAUGUUUCACUAUAACGCUGCUUUAGAAUGAAGGUCUUCCAGAAGCCACAUCCGCACAAUUUUCCACUUAACCAGGAAAUAUUUCUCCUCUAAAUGCAUGAAAUCAUGUUGGAGAUC